GACGAACGCUGGCGGCGUGCUUAACACAUGCAAGUCGAGCGGUAAGGCCCUUCGGGGUACACGAGCGGCGAACGGGUGAGUAACACGUGGGUGACCUGCCUCUAGCUCUGGGAUAAGCCUGGGAAACUGGGUCUAAUACCGGAUAUGACUCCACGGCGCAUGUUGUGGGGUGGAAAGCCUUGUGUGGCUAGAGAUGGGCCCGCGGCCUAUCAGCUUGUUGGUGGGGUGAUGGCCUACCAAGGCGACGACGGGUAGCCGGCCUGAGAGGCGACCGGCCACACUGGGACUGAGGCACGGCCCAGACUCCUACGGGAGGCAGCAGUGGGGAAUCUUGCGCAAUGGGCGAAAGCCUGACGCAGCGACGCCGCGUGA
rnacentral:rRNA from 1 species